AACAAUAAGCUUAUACGCAACAUCAAAAUCAAAAGCAAAAUAUAUAGACACAUAGGAAAAAGUUGACCCAGGGAUAAAUAAUGGGGAAACAGAUCUGUAACAAACCGAGAUGAUACCUAUAAUAAUAGCAUCAGAGGCCUCUACCUCAGUCCUAGCCGGUAUAGCAUAAGAAUGACCACGUUUUCUUUUGGACUGAGUAACCCCACGACCACCUCCAUGAGCACCUCUACUUCGAACACUUCUAGCGUCACUCGAACCACUCUAUGCACCCC
rnacentral:lncRNA from 1 species